GAUGAACGCUGGCGGCGUGCCUAAUACAUGCAAGUCGAGCGAACAGACGAGGAGCUUGCUCCUCUGACGUUAGCGGCGGACGGGUGAGUAACACGUGGAUAACCUACCUAUAAGACUGGGAUAACUUCGGGAAACCGGAGCUAAUACCGGAUAAUAUAUUGAACCGCAUGGUUCAAUAGUGAAAGACGGUUUUGCUGUCACUUAUAGAUGGAUCCGCGCCGCAUUAGCUAGUUGGUAAGGUAACGGCUUACCAAGGCAACGAUGCGUAGCCGACCCGAGAGGGUGAUCGGCCACACUGGAACGGAGACACGGUCCAGACUCCUACGGGAGGCAGCAGUAGGGAAUCUUCCGCAAUGGGCGAAAGCUUGACGGAGCAACGCCGCGUGAGUGAUGAAGGUCUUCGGAUCGUAAAACUCUGUUAUUAGGGAAGAACAAAUGUGUAAGUAACUAUGCACGUCUUGACGGUACCUAAUCAGAAAGCCACGGCUAACUACGUG
rnacentral:rRNA from 1 species